CGCGUAUACAAUCUACCUUUUACAGAGGGAUAGCCCAGAGAAAUUUGGAUUAAUACCUCAUAGUAUUUUCGGAUCGCAUGAUUUGAUUAUUAAAGUUCCAACGGUAAAAGAUGAGUAUGCGUCCCAUUAGCUAGAUGGUAAGGUAACGGCUUACCAUGGCGAUGAUGGGUAGGGGUCCUGAGAGGGAGAUCCCCCACACUGGUACUGAGACACGGACCAGACUCCUACGGGAGGCAGCAGUGAGGAAUAUUGGACAAUGGGCGCAAGCCUGAUCCAGCCAUGCCGCGUGCAGGAAGACGGUCCUAUGGAUUGUAAACUGCUUUUAUACAGGAAGAAACACUCCCUCGUGAGGGAACUUGACGGUACUGUAUGAAUAAGCAUCGGCUAACUCCGUGCCAGCAGCCGCGGUAAUACGGAGGAUGCAAGCGUUAUCCGGAAUCAUUGGGUUUAAAGGGUCCGUAGGCGGUUUAAUAAGUCAGUGGUGAAAGCCCAUCGCUCAACGAUGGAACGGCCAUUGAUACUGUUAAACUUGAAUUAUUAGGAAGUAACUAGAAUAUGUAGUGUAGCGGUGAAAUGCUUAGAGAUUACAUGGAAUACCAAUUGCGAAGGCAGGUUACUACUAAUAUAUUGACGCUGAUGGACGAAAGCGUGGGGAGCGAACAGGAUUAGAUACCCUGGUAGUCCACGCCGUAAACGAUGGAUACUAGCUGU
rnacentral:rRNA from 1 species